rnacentral:rRNA from 1 species
GACGAACGCUGGCGGCGUGCUUAACACAUGCAAGUCGAACGGUGAAGCCCAGCUUGCUGGGUGGAUCAGUGGCGAACGGGUGAGUAACACGUGAGUAACCUGCCCCUGACUCUGGGAUAAGCCUUGGAAACGAGGUCUAAUACCGGAUACGAGGCGCUCGUGCAUGCGAAGUGCCUGGAAAGAUUUAUCGGUCAGGGAUGGACUCGCGGCCUAUCAGCUGGUUGGUGGGGUAACGGCCUACCAAGGCGACGACGGGUAGCCGGCGUGAGAGGGCGAACGGCCAAACUGGGACUGAGACACGGCCCAGACUCCUACGGGAGGCAGCAGUGGGGAAUAUUGCACAAUGGGCGCAAGCCUGAUGCAGCGACGCCGCGUGAGGGAUGAAGGCCUUCGGGUUGUAAACCUCUUUCAGCAGGGAAGAAGCGCAAGUGACGGUACCUGCAGAAGAAGCGCCGGCUAACUACGUGCCAGCAGCCGCAGUAA